UAUGUUGGGUACCUUGACAAGAUUGAGGGAGGCAGAACUACUGUGGAGUGCUGUAAUUGUUAGAACCCGUAUUUUUGUACAGUGGAAUAAUCCGAAUUUAUUUAUGAUAAGCUAAGGACAAAAUUAUUUUGGGAUACAAAGUCGGGAUUCUUGACCUUCGAAUUUAUUUUGAGAUAUAAGUUGUGCAUGAAUUUAUUGGUAUGGAACAAUUAGGAAAAUUUGGGACCAAAAGUGAAAAAUUGGAAGAAGAAAAUCAUCCACAACUUCCAUGGUUGGCCCACACAAUUUUGUGUCAUCUUUUAAUUGGGACAACACAUUAAUGUGGGCCAAGGGAUAUUGUACACUCUUUAUAUUAGAUAAAAGAUGACUUCUAGUCAUUAUUCUUCAUUCACCACACUUGGAAAAAAAAGGGGCAAAGCUGAAAACCUCCAAGGAGGCUCACGGCCAGCAGCAACAAAGAUCAACUUCCAUUUCUUGUCCUCCAAAAAUUAUUUUGAUGAUGUAAACCCACUAUAUUGAGGUCCCUAAGUAGCGUGGAAGCAUCGUUGGAGCGAUCAACCCAUUAUUUUCAUCUUUUGGAAACCCUAGGCUAUUGGAAAGUUGAAGAAGGAAGACCUUGGGCAGCCCGAAUCAUAGGUUGGAUUUAGCUUGAGUUUGGAUCGUAUUGGAGAGUGGUUGAGGUACGGACGCACAGCCUGGUGAUCCACCUGUUUAGGACACCCUUUCUGCUAUUCGGAGUGCUCCUCUCUUUCCGGAGCUUAUACUUUUGGUAUAUAUAUUUAUUAGUGCAUUUGUAUAUAUUCGUUCAUGGGUACGGCGGGGCCCUGUCCCGUCAUAUGAUUCUGUCGGUCUGUUUAGAGGUCUGUGGACAUGUUUGUGGGUUAGGGUCUUUCUGUAUAGAUGUAUGUACAUGUCGUUUGGGCGAUCCCAUACGCCGAGGCGGCCGGUCCGCAUAUGUUGUUUGGGCGAUCCUAUACGCCGAGGCGGCCGGUCCGCAUAUGUUUAUAUAUUGCUUGGUUAGCCCUGUGUGGCUUUUGUUGGUAUUUUCUGCGUGCAGGGUAUAUUGGAUAGUCCGUAAAACAAAGGAAACUCUGCCGAAAUUUUUCUGGAAAUUACCUAAAUUUGAAAUAAAGCCUUGUCGGCUUCCGCCAUAUACUAGAAUGAGUUAAUAGAAUUUGAGAUAAUAUUUGAUAGAUGGGUUCGGGUGCCCAGAUCGGGCCCUAGUCACGGCCUACGGGGUUGGGUCGUGACAGUAAUGCUUCCUAAACACAGAGUAAUUUUGUGGCUGGCAUAUCAGGACAGACUGUUGACAAAAGAGAGAUUGCAGAGGUUGAAUAUUCAUGUGGAUACUACUGAAUGUUGUCUAUGUGAUGCAAAUCAAAUGGAGACUGCAAAGCAUCUAUUUGCAGAGUGCAAUUGGAGUUCUGAGGUGAGGAAUGCAUUAGCUACAUGGGCUGGAAUUGGUUUACCAAAAAGGAAUGCAAGACAGAGCUUACAGUGGAUAAAAAUCAGACAUUGGAGGCAACUAAAGAAGGAGAUUGCAGCUGCGCUAUGUGGUGCCAUCAUUUACUACACUUGGCAAGCCCGAAACUGGAAAGUGUUAUGGCUUAUAAAUGUAAAUAGUGAGUUUAUAGUUGAACAGAUAAAGAAGGAACUUAGGGAGAGACGGGGUAAGUUUGUUCAGUCUAGAAAAGCUAGAAAUUGCCAAAGUUUGAUUCAAAGGUUCUGUAGUUAGAAGUAAGUGUUGUAGCUGAAGGUAUUGUUUUUUUUUUUUUUUUUGGGUUCUGAGGUCCUGCUGCUCUCUGCACUCUUCCUAGAAGGCAGUAGAGACACUGGAUGCUCUUAGGUUGUAUUCUUUAUUUUGUUGGUAUAUGGUAAUAUUCACAGUUGAUUACCAAAAAUAAAAUAAAAAAUAAAAACAAACUUGUUACAAAGGAUAAUUAACUUUAUUUUUAGUUACACUAUUUUGUAAGUUAUGAG